UGUUGUUAUUCUUGUUGUUGUUGUUGUUGUUGUUGUUGUUGUUGUUGUUGUUGUUGUUGUUGUUGAUUUGUUCUUGUUGUUCUCGUUGUUCUUAUUCUUGUUUUUGUCGUCAUCGUCGUCGUUGUCAUUGUCGUCAUCGUCCUCGUUGUUGUCGUUGUCGUCAUCAUUGUCGUCGUCAUUGUUGUUGUUGUUGUUGUUGUAGUUGUUGG
rnacentral:lncRNA from 1 species